GAACGAAACUUUCUUGCACCGAAUGCUUGCAUUCACCGUAAGAAGUUGAGUGGCGGACGGGUGAGUAACACGUGGGUAACCUGCCUAAAAGAAGGGGAUAACACUUGGAAACAGGUGCUAAUACCGUAUAUCUCUAAGGAUCGCAUGAUUCUUAGAUGAAAGAUGGUUCUGCUAUCGCUUUUAGAUGGACCCGCGGCGUAUUAACUAGUUGGUGGGGUAACGGCCUACCAAGGUGAUGAUACGUAGCCGAACUGAGAGGUUGAUCGGCCACAUUGGGACUGAGACACGGCCCAAACUCCUACGGGAGGCAGCAGUAGGGAAUCUUCCACAAUGGACGCAAGUCUGAUGGAGCAACGCCGCGUGAGUGAAGAAGGUCUUCGGAUCGUAAAACUCUGUUGUUAGAGAAGAACACGAGUGAGAGUAACUGUUCAUUCGAUGACGGUAUCUAACCAGCAAGUCACGGCUAACUACGUGCCAGCAGCCGCGGUAAUACGUAGGUGGCAAGCGUUGUCCGGAUUUAUUGGGCGUAAAGGGAACGCAGGCGGUCUUUUAAGUCUGAUGUGAAAGCCUUCGGCUUAACCGGAGUAGUGCAUUGGAAACUGGAAGACUUGAGUGCAGAAGAGGAGAGUGGAACUCCAUGUGUAGCGGUGAAAUGCGUAGAUAUAUGGAAGAACACCAGUGGCGAAAGCGGCUCUCUGGUCUGUAACUGACGCU
rnacentral:rRNA from 1 species